CAGGUCAUCUACGAAUGAUUUAGCACCAGGUUCCCCAUGAACAUGAGAUGCAAGUAAAGGAGAGAGGCGGCGCCCAUACGGCCGCACUCCAGACCAGAAUCGAAUGGCGAUACGCACCGACCGGAGUCGGUUAUCCUAGGCCAACCAGUGAUUCACGGCGCUAGGGUAUGGUUACAUUUAGGCAGGAUUCUGACUUAGAGGCGUUCAGUCAUAAUCCCACAGAUGGUAGCUUUGCACCAUUGGCUCCUCAGCCAAGCACAUACACCAAAUGUCUGAAUCUGCGCUUCCUCUCGUACUGAGCAGGAUUACUAUUGCAACAAUACAACAUCAGUAGGGUAAAACUAACCUGUCAACUCGGAGGCCAA